UACGUAGGGGGCAAGCGUUGUUCGGAAUUACUGGGCGUAAAGAGCUCGUAGGUGGUUUGUCGCGUUGUCCGUGAAAACUCACAGCUCAACUGUGGGCGUGCGGGCGAUACGGGCAGACUGGAGUACUGCAGGGGAGACUGGAAUUCCUGGUGUAGCGGUGGAAUGCGCAGAUAUCAGGAGGAACACCGGUGGCGAAGGCGGGUCUCUGGGCAGUAACUGACGCUGAGGAGCGAAAGCGUGGGGAGCGAACAGG
rnacentral:rRNA from 1 species